rnacentral:lncRNA from 12 species
GAUCAGAAGGCUGUGGAUACCCGGAGAGAAGCCUCAACAGGCAGCUGGACUGCAUGAGGAAGAGGGAAAUUAGAGAGGGCACAGGGGUGCUGAGCAGGGACAGGGCUCGGGGAAGAGGACGGGGGUGGCUCCGUCCUGCCCAGGUGACAGAAGCAGGGAGGGACCUGUAGGAAGCGCUCUGCAGCCAGGACAGCGCCCCACCGCCCACUCCAGGCUCCCAGCCCCAUGGCCCUAAUGAGCUCGUUAUUGCAACACAGGAAGUAUCGAUGGCUUCUGCUCAGUGAGGAAAACCUGUUUUAGGUUAUGUGCAAUCUGGAAGCUUUCCCGGUCCCCCCCCAAAAGCCCUUUUGGAAAAAAGCCUUUUUUUCCCCCCAAUUUAAAGAGACAGGGUCCAUCCAGCCUUCAGGGAGAAAUAGCCCCGCCCCCCCCCCCCCCCCCGGCCCCUGUCUAGCAGUUUCUGCAGCGAGCAACCACUGAAAGAAGCAAGCCCCUAUGAACUGAGAGCUCUCCGCAAUUAGUGCAAGGGCCUCGGGCCAAGGAAGGACAGAGUGGUGUAACCAGGAAACCAGGGCGCCUCUGUGUGUACCCAAAAAGAUCCCCUCUUCCUCCUGCAGAUCGAGGGAGAGAGUCUGGCCGGCCUGGGAGGAGGUGACUGGGGCAGAAACGGUGGGGGAGAAGGAUGGUGGCUGCAAUUUUUGCACUAGUGAUGGACGUGAGUUUAGCAAAGAACAGACAGUGGAUGCCUUAAUCCCACAGCAUUACUGUCUCCAUAGCGCUGAGCCCUGCCCUACAAGCUUCUGUAAGGCCUAAGCAAGGCAGCUGUGUGCGCUCAUUGUCCAAGGAGAGAACGCAGAAAGCAUAUGUAGCUGCUGGGUUAGCUCAGCAACACUCCACCCUCAUUUCCCUUGGGUUCCAGCCCACAGGCCCUGGAGAUGCUCUCACAGGGAGGAACUACUGGGGGAAUGGGACCCGGUGACCACGCCAGUUACAGAAGGAACCAUUCCAGUGUGACACAGCAGAAGACACAAGAGGAUGGGUGGCCAAAGGAGAGCCCAAGGAUAAGGCAACAUGACCGAGUGCAGACACAGGUUGAAGCCAGGCGCCUGAGCAGCUGGUGAGUAAGAGGGCUGUCCCCACAUCUCGGGGAAAUGUGACGGAGGCCAGCCUGGCAAGGAGAUAGAGAAAACUGCCAGGGGAAGGUGAGGCAGGUAGCUGUUAACCCCUCAAAAAGGGAGGUGGCCUUUAGAAAGACCUCGACCAGCGCACAGAGCUGCUGGCCCGGCGGAGAGGACACAGACACCUGCGUCUCAGGUUGGGAACGGCCCAUCUUCGGCUCCAGGCCCCAGGCUCCUGAGAUGGCCUUUGCUCUGCGAGCCUGCUGCCCAGUGGCUUUUCAGCGGCUUUUCGGACCGCACAACCCACGCCCUGAGCUUUCCAGCCUUUGCUCACUGGCGUCUUGCAUCUCGGCUCGGUCAAAACUGAUGGGAGCUAAUUAGUGCUGAGGCAGAGACGCCAGUUCACUUCCCUGCACCUCAUCAUUUGU